UACGUAGGGUGCGAGCGUUGUCCGGAAUUAUUGGGCGUAAAGGGCUCGUAGGCGGUCUGUCACGUCAGGAGUGAAAACUCGGGGCUCAACCCCGAGCCUGCUUCUGAUACGGGCAGACUGGAGGUAUGCAGGGGAGAACGGAAUUCCUGGUGUAGCGGUGGAAUGCGCAGAUAUCAGGAGGAACACCGGUGGCGAAGGCGGUUCUCUGGGCAUUACCUGACGCUGAGGAGCGAAAGCGUGGGGAGCAAACAGG
rnacentral:rRNA from 1 species